rnacentral:lncRNA from 1 species
UCCACUAAUUUUCUUGUGGAUCUCUUGGAAACAUAUCACAACUCAUCAUAUGUGGUUGUUAUUGUUGUUUUACUGUAUAUGUAGCUAUAAUAUUACGAGUUGAUCUAUGUACACAUGAGAGCGGGGGAGAUUUUUACCGUAUUUGUUUUUAUAUUUCAUUAUUUAUUGUAGGUAUUGAGGAAUAAUAAGAAGGAUUGUAUAAUUUCAAUAUGCUUGUGUGAACCAUAGUUUUUGCUAGUUAUCAUUUCCCUAAUUCUUAUACGUUGGUUAUCUUUAAUUUUGUUUGGUAUUUAACUCGUUAAGAAGAUUCUCAAAGAAAAUUAAUUACUAGUAUAUCACUAUUUCGUUAAAGACAAAUUUUGAGCUCUCAAUCAAGCUUCUGAUUUUCC